rnacentral:lncRNA from 1 species
UGGAUACCCCCAGGGUGGAGCAGGAGGAUACCCCCAGGGUGGAGCAGGAAAACCAGGCAAAGCUGGCGGUGGUGAGUCUUUUACUUUGUCGCCAUGUUUUUCUCUUUAUUUCUCUCUUUCUUUCUUCUCCCUCUCUCUCUCUCUCUCUCUCUUUCUAUUCUCUUUUUUCUCUUUCACUCUCAUUUGCCCUCUUCCUCUCUCUCUCUCUCUCUCUCUCUCUCUCUCCCUCUCAGGUGCUAAUCUGGGACAGGGAGGAUAUCCCCAGGGUGGAGCAGGAGGAUACCCCCAGGGUGGAGCAGGCAAAUCAGCGGGUUAUGGUGAUCAAAUGGGAGGAGCAUACCCCGGGGCUGGAGCGGGCAACGGCUAUGGGAAUGGUGGAGGCCCAGCUGGGGGGGCCAAUGCAGUGCCUGCAGGCUAUGGCAAUGGCUACGGUGCUAGUACUGGAGGCAAUGGUUAUGGACCCGGUCUUGGCGCAGGAGGAUAUCCACAGGGACAGGAGAAAUAUGGUGAGGAAGUCACCCUGAGAUGGAAGAAGAGGGGUCAAGAAGUGGAUGUUUUCCCUAAGAUGUCCUGUCUUGAAAAGAUAGAGGGCAUCAACAAGCAGGAUGUACACAUGGAAGGAGAAUAA